rnacentral:rRNA from 1 species
GAUGAACGCUGGCGGCGUGCCUAAUACAUGCAAGUCGAGCGAAGCGGGGACGGGUGAGUAACACGUGGAUAACCUCCUAUACGACUGGGAUAACUUCGGGAAACCGGAGCUAAACCGGUUACUUAUCGCUGGAUCCUCGCUGCAUUAGCUAGUUGGUAAGGUAACAGCUUACAAAGGCAACGAUGCAUAGCCGGCCUGAGAGGGUGAUCCGCCACACUGGAACUGAGACACGGCCCAGACUCCUACGGGAGGCAGCAGUAGGGAAUCUUCCGCAAUGGGCGAAAGCCUGACAGAGCCACGCCGCGUGUGUGAUGAAGGUCCUCGGAUCGUAAAACUCUGUUAUUAGGGAAGCGGUACCUACUCAGAAAGCCACGGCUAACUCCGUGCCAGCCGCCGCGGUAAUAC